CACCGCCCGUCACACCAUGGGAGUCGGUAAUGCCCGAAGUCAGUGACCCAAAAGAGGGAGCUGCCGAAGGCAGGACAGAUAACUGGGGUGAAGUCGUAACAAGGUAGCCGUAUCGGAAGGUGCGGCUG
rnacentral:ncRNA from 1 species